rnacentral:lncRNA from 1 species
CCACGAUAAUGAACCACCCUUAGAAACCUGCAGAACCCGGUGUAAUAGGUUCAUGAGCACCAACUAGGAAAUAUGGUAAAAUACAACAUCUGUCUGAAAUACAAAUUAGACAGGAGAAUAUAAAUAACUCUAAUGGAGACUCUGCAGGCUGUGCAUCGUAAAAUGAAAUUCAGCUCACGAUGAGUCCCCACAAUAGCCGUGCUUCUGCACCCAAAAGACCACCAGACAUAUAUGUACCUGCACAAACGUGUGCAGAAAGUGUAGCAUGAAUAUGUAAAUCAACAUGUACCCAGUAAGUCUAACCCUAGAAAAUAGUUACGAGGGAUCGACAUCGACACUUAAUAGUGAUCCAAUAAGACGAUUACAAUAAGAAGUAAACGGAUAUAGGGCAGAGCAAGUGAAUGAAAGAAACUACUAUAAAUACAUGGUAUAAUUCUCCGCUCACCAAUAAAAUUCAAGCUCUCAAUUGACAGUUACCUCUUCAACCGGAGUAUGUAUGUAUGUAUGUAUGUAUGUAUGUAUGUGUGUAUGUGUAUGUAUGUAUGUAUGUAUGUGUGUGUGUGUGUCUAUAUAUAUAUAUAUAUAUAUAUAUAUAUAUAUAUAUAUUUAUAUGAGAUAUGGGAAAAGGUUACGGCGUUAUAUACACACCAUCACCUGACCAGCUGGUAUACAUUGAUGUUUUUUGCCACAGUGGCCAAGACGAUAUGAUGGGAUGCCCUCAAAGGAUUGAUGGUGUUAUGAACACAUGUACAUAUAUAUGAUUACAAGCUCUCAAUUGACAGUUACCUCUUCAACCGGAGUAUGUAUGUAUGUAUGUAUGUAUGUAUGUAUGUGUGUAUGUGUAUGUAUGUAUGUAUGUAUGUGUGUGUGUGUGUCUAUAUAUAUAUAUAUAUAUAUAUAUAUAUUAUGUUGGACCUCACCAGAUAGGCCAUCAUAAUUCAAAUCAGGAAAAUUCACGGAUACAUUUGCUUCUUGUUAAAUAUUAUGCACGAUUUUAUUGAAAUGCCGAGGCGUACUGCCCGAUCCCAUCAUAUUGUGUGCACAGCCGAGGGUCCAAUGGUACAAACCAUAUAUACAUAUAUUAUACUUUCGAGGAGAAUGACCCGCUCCCAUGAGAGUGUGGUACAUAUUCUUGUCGAGGCGAACGACCCAAUCCCAUUAGAAUAAGAAGCUUUAACGGGUCCUUGACCCCAUCCACAAUAACGUGUGAGUUGUAAAUUUGUAAGGAAAACCUUCCGAUGAAAUUUCAUUACACGAGGAAAAUCCAUAAUAGGAGCACAAAUUUUGCGGCUAAUCAUGAAGCUCGUCAAAUCCCUAUAAUGGAAAGUCUAUCACUCUACGCAAGUCACAUUUGGCAUUACGGAAUCUGAACCUGAUAUCAAAAAGUCCACUCCUGGUCAAACUUCUCAAAAACUUUUAAAUUUCCAACUUUUUCCAAAUGACCCCGAAAUGACAUUCGGAGCUCUAAAUCCACACCCAAACACGCUCCUAAGACCAGAAUCACCAUACAGAGCUAUUCCUAGACUCGGAAUCCCGAACGGACAUCAAUAUCAUUGAAAUACACUUCAACCCAAAUUCAUGAAAUUCUUCCAGAAAGCCCACUUUCCACAAUAAACGUUGUAACGCUCUCGGGACAUCCAAAACAUGCGAUCCGGACAUACUCCCAAGUCCAAAAUCAUCAUACGAACCAAUUGGAAUCUUCAAAUCCCAAUUUCGAGGUUGUUUACUCAAAAUUCGAACCUUAUUCAAUUAUUCCAACUUAAUGCUCCCGAAAGUAGAGAUUUCUUUCCAAAUCAACUCCAAACUUCUGAAAAUCCAAUCCCGUCCAUAUGUACAAGUCAAAGUACACUAAGUGGAGCUACUCAAGGACUCAAACCACCAAACGAUGUGCUAGAACUCAAAACAACCGGUCGUGUUGUUACAUUCUCUCCCACUUAAACAUAUGUUCUUCUCUGAUGUGUUAAGGAGUGCUUUGGAGUCAUCUAAAACCAUUGUUUAACACCUCGUGCACCUAGUCAUGCCACCACAACCCAGGUGAGCACAUUAGCUCGAGCCAGUCUGAAGAUCCUUCUUGAUACCUUAGCUAAUAAGCCUUAGAAACAAAUUCCAACAUCUAGAAUUCUCCAUGUUUUAACAUAUGAACACCGUAUCAAUCACCAGACAUUGAACCCAAUAUGACCCUGAUUAUCCGCUGAAAGCACACCAUGAACCACAUACAUUUGCCCAAGGCAACCUUCCUCAAGCACAACUAACUAAAAUUUCCACUGACUCGAAGCCCAUUAUAUACCUCAUAACAUAUAUAUGCCUUGUUUCAACUCUCAUUGUACUUCUCCAACAGAGGAGAUGUGUAGAAACCCGUAACCACCGGCCGAAUCAACAAAUCAUGGAGCUCCAACUCAUGUUAAGGACCAUUACCUCAUUUUUCACUAGAUAAUGAUAUAUGAUCUUUAAUAUACCUUAUAUAAAUAUGAUUGCACUGAUUUGAGGUCAAAAAAUCUCGUCUCACCUACUAUAAGUUGCUCGGCAAUAAGCCACCUCAAACAUUAGCCAAGAUCUCAUACGAUGCCACAAUGCGCCAACAAGCUACAAACUUGAAUGUGAUACAUAAGAAAAACGAACUCUGGAAAGAACUACUUAAUCCACAUAACUAAUUAAGUAGCCGAAAAGAUAUUAUGAACCUUCCUCAAAAUGAGAUACAAAAAACAUUGUUGAGGCAUGCAACUCGAUCGAUAAAUGAUAAUUUUGCGGCGUGCAACUUGAUCCUACCAUGAUACCGAUGCAGCGUGCAAUCCGAUCCAAAAAACAUACCCUUGGUGGUGUGCCACCUGAUCUACACAUAAAAAUUAAGAAGAAAAUAUACAAAUCAAUCCGUAAUGCUCAUACUUACAAAAUGCCCGAAUAUCAGGCACAAGCAUGCCAAGUGCAUAAUACAAAUUCCGGGAAGAUGGAUAGUGCCAUAUGCUACGAAACCCAAGCACAACUAAGGUGCAAUAAAUGACUUGCAUUUCGAGAGUCAUCCUGGUCAUAUAACACCUCAAGAUACACGAGACCACAACAUAUUUGCGAAUAAUCAAGCCAUCUCACAACCCACCUAGCAUAAUAGAGUGUUACAUGGAAUAGUUGACGAUGGAUAUAAUAUCCAACGCUCGAAGACUUUUCCAUAAGCAACGCUAUGCUUAAGAACACACCUACCUAAUAUAGAGAGCACAUUCACAUUUAGACCCAUUCUCGGACCUCAAGCCAAUUCGAAUCCUACCAUACUAGGCUAAUACCCUUCCAAGGAUCCAUAACGGCCAUAUUUAUGACACAUAAGAGAAUCCUCCCAAUUCGGAAAAAACUUCCAUAGUUCACAACCAAAUGAAUAGAGUGCCUUCUAGGCCUAAACUCUCACAUUAGUGACAGUAUCAUGGUCUCCGUGCAUGGUUUCAAUCUUUAAUCAAUCAAGUGACUACAUGUUACACUUAUACAAUUUCCCCGCGGGAUACGACCCCAUGACCUUCCAUACCAGGUAGCAAAGUCUGCGCAUCUAUACCACUGGCCAUAAAAUGCUCUAAAGUGAAUCGAGAAUCAGCAAAUCAGCACACAAAGCUUCUUACAUAGGACACCGAUAUCAGGUGGCGCUAAAGACAAUGCCAUCUUACUCUAAACAUCUGAAUUCUUUCCUGCUCAUCCGAGCUCGUGAUAUUCUUGUCAACAAGGAACCACAACUUUGAUCCUUAACUUCCAAUUCACGUGUCACUCACUACACCUAACAUGACACUACGCAAGAGUACAAGAAUUUCAUCAUAACUCCUGAACCACUAAUAGAAUAAAUACCUCAUCAUAUAGAAACUUUUCACCUAACUCGUUUCAGGAGAACCAUUGCAUCACGCGACUGAAUUCUUAUAACCGUAGAAAAUACAAAUCUCAAGUUGUGGUUUAAACCACCAUCACUCUUACAUGAUCCAUCUACACAGAACAGGCCAUAAUAAUCGAAUGCCUCCAAUUAACUCGAAUUAGGCGGCUGCCAAGAAUUGCAUAUACCGCCACAAUUCACCUUUAUAUCUUAACACACUAAAGGAACUGAUCAUUGCCACCACCAUACCGAUUCAACCAUGGUUAACCGAAGAAACUUCUUCUAAUUUACUCCAGGCCUUCCUUAGAAAUAAUUAUAGCUACAUUUGAACUUAAUUCACACUUAUCAAGUGACCCAAUUCACGAGACCCCAUUGUCUCAAAACCCAUGAACCAUCAUGUACCCUCUUUGUGCGCACAUUUGCAUGUUCAGCUGGUACACCCGUUUUGAUAAUCCCUCUGUCAAUACGAAGCUAUUUUAUCCCAUUCCUCUAAUGCUACACCACAGACUAGUGAUAACAUAGAACACAUCAAGCCCCGUUCAUAAUCCACUACAGAAGCUUGGUACUUAACCAUACCAUAGACUCAAAAUCCUUAGGCAUUGGACUUUAAUUUUGAACCCACCAGGACCGUUGUUGAGAGUCACCCACUCUGACUUGAUCCCGAAUAUAAGCCAAACUUUAGUGCUCUGCUAGCACGUGAACACCCUAUCAAGGGAAAAUUCGACUAAAUUCUUUUCGUUAUACAUUAACCCCCAUAAGAAUUAUAAACUCUAAGACUUCCCAAAACCUAAACUUGAAUCGAUAAGACAAAAAUAUCACACAUUCCUCAAAUCGUUGAUGCACCCCCUUUUUCUCGUGAAAUCGAGUUUAUGACAUUUGGAGGGAGAACUCAUUCCUUUUGGGAAUUGGGUUUAUAUAUAAAGAGUCGCCACCUAAUGAUUAGGGUGCAUUAGGACACCAAAGAGUUUGAUUUGAGUAACUAGAGAAAGGGUAACUACUUGAAAUUAUUCUAAGAGCAAGGUGUUAAGCAUCCCUCAGAAUUCACUAGUGUGGUUCCCAGCCAAACAAUUAUUCUGAACUUAGGUGCAAAUAACAUAUAGACAAAUAAGGCUUCAAAUAAGAGGGAAUUUUUGCAGAAUGGUUAAAAAAUAAACAAAGUUUGAAAGAACAAUUAGAAAAGUUAAUAUUGAAAAGAAAGAGGUGAAAUUGUUAAAAGAAGUAAAUAAUAAAAUAGAUGGGGAUCCCAGGUUACUAAAAAUAUGGAUCACCCCAGUAAUUACUCCUCGACGAGGGGCUACAUGUGACAUUAUCGUGUGGUCAUCAUAUCCAUAUCUACCCUACUCACCUCGUUAAGGUAUUAAAGCGCGCAAUGGUCUCGAUUACUUAUUGCAUGAUAUUACCCGUGCCAAUCCUAUCAGUCCUGGAGGCAUUUAGGACUAUUAAUCCUAAAAGGGGAGGGAUAUUGGUCUUAUUUAGGGUUUCAACGGCAAAAAUCUAAGGCGACAAACAAAAACACAUAUUUCACAUUUUAGGGGGAAACAUAUACACAAAUAGAGGCUCACUUAUGCCUCCUUGGAAAAAAACACAUAAUUAGCUUGACUUUCCACACUGUUUAGGUCUGAUUUAAAAGUAUUAAAGAAUGAAGGAGUUAAAUAUUGAGGCAGACUGGUAUAUUUUAUAACUCAAACAAGAAGUCUGAAUCAGGCAUGCCUGCUGGUUGUAAUAACUAACAGAAAUAGAUUCAGUUUAUAAUUAUUACCCUAAGGCUUGUCUAAGUGUUGGACAAAGAUCCUAUAAGAAUGGUAUCUAGUGGUACAGAAAGAAAAGAAAUAGUAAGGCUCAAAAUAAACACUUUGAAUGUAUACUUCAUAAACUUGCUAAGUGAGGAAAUCAGAUUAUAAAGAGAGACAGGAUUUAAGCAAAUUGAUUAUAAGUCCUGUGACUGAUAGUAGCCAUUAUAGCAGGUUUUAUUUCUAACACUGAGCAAAGAGAAUCGGAGUCAAUGAGAAACUUUUAUAGGCAUGCUUUCUAUACAUUGUUGAUUUUAAACCUUAUAGACGUAGUGUAGAAAUGCAGAAGCCUUAGAGACAUGGUGUCUAAAUGCAGCUAAACAUGCAGAAUUAAACAUUUUUUGUAGGCAUGAUUUCUAUAUGAAGUUGAAUAUGCAGAGUCCUAUAAACAUGGUUUCUAUAUAUAAUUGAAUAUGCAAAAUCUUAUAGACAUUGUCUCUCUAUGAUGUUGAAUAUGCAAAAUCAGAAUAUCCUAUGGGCAUGAUUCUCUCUACGGUGUUGAAUAUGCAGAAUCAGAAUAUCCUAUGGGCAUGAUUUCUAUAUGAAGUUGGAUAUGCAGAAUCCAAUAAACAUGAUUUCUAUAUGAUAUUGAAUAUGCAGAGUCUAUUGAUUAGGCUAGGGAAAGCUAUUGAUUAGGCUAGGGAAAGCUUUAGGCAUGCCCAGCAAUGGAGGAUGUUGGCAUGCCUAUAAGCCUGCCAGAACACACACUAUUAGAGGCUAGGAUCCCAGGGGAUCAAGUUUGAGUCAUGGACAAUAAUUUUUGGUACUGUCAUGCCUUGAACAAACCAUAUCAUGAACACAUCGGGGUGGGGUCUUGGAAUUCAUAAUAGAUUUAGAAUAGGCAGCAAGAAAUUACAGCAUGCUAAAGUAAGCAUUGAACUAUACAUAAGCAGUAGGCAGAAAUGCAAGUAAAGGUAGUAAAUAAACACAUUGUUGUGAUUGCUAAAAAUCCCUAAUCAGGACAUACCAGUUCCAAAUAAGCAAAAUACAGCAGUAGCAACACUUGAAAAACAGCCGCAGUACAAGUAACAAGAGAGAAUGUUUUUGAAUAUGAGUGUGAGUUCAAAAAACUAAGAGUGUUCGUGUCUGUUUGUGUCAAUGAAAGAGUUAGGUAUUUAUAGUGUGAAAACAGGCAGAAAAUAAGGCAAGAAAAAAAAUUAUGGAACUAGGUACCAUUUAAAAUCAAUCAGUAUAAGACAUCCUUUAAAUAAGGAGUUAAAAUCAAAUGGAAACAUGUAAAAUAAGAAAAGAAAUCACAUAGGGUUGUAUAUGGCUAAUAAGGAAGUAUUUCCAAUAUAGUAGAAGUACACAGUAGGUAAUAUGGGCAAGGUUCCUCAGAUUGUAAUCAAGAAAAAGUCUAUAAGAAUUCCAUACCAAUGUAAUCACGGUAAGGGGAUUAAUCAAAUUGAGUAGAAAAGGUAGGGGUCGAAGGUUCAAGGAAAGUAUUCGAAUAGGUCCAAAAAUAGGCAAAUCAGUACAAUAAGGAAGGAAUCAAUUACAAGAGUGCAAUCAGAAUUACACAAAGAUGUUUGAAAUCAUUCCACAAUUAAGGGUUAUUUUGAGAGGGAAAUUUAGCCAAUAAAAGAGUGCACAAACUUUAGGCAUGCGAGGCUAAACCAUGGCAAAGAGAAGCAGUAAUAAUAAAUAGAAAGUCUAUGCAUAGUGAAACAUGGUAGCCACAUAUGUUGACUUAGUAAUAGGGAGGAUAGAGCAUCAAAAGAAUGCAAAAGAGUCAAGUGAAAGACCUUUUUGGAAAGUGUAGCAGGAAGUCAGAAUCACAUAGAGAAACAAAAGAUUUAGAAAUUCAAUCGACCAACAGAUGAAGCCACUUCAGGAACCUUAAUAGGCUCUGAAGGAAUCAUGGUUUUGAAACCAAACAAAUUCAGGGAUAAGGAACACGCAAAUCGCAUAGCAAAUAGUCUCAGAACUCGAAUGGACCCCAAAUCCUAGGUUUUUUGCCAUCAAUCGAGUGUAAUUAUGAAAGACAAAUAAUCAAGGCACAAAUAAUAACGAAAUAAGUUUAGAAAUCUCGAAAAGGAACUGAGACCUUUAAUAUAAAUUUUCCAGUAGAAGAACAACAUAAAGAAGUACAAUAGAAAGACAACAUAAGAAAACACAGUAGAAGAACCGCUAUAAGAAACAAAGUAGAAGAAUCAACAUUAGAAACCCAGUAGAAAAAUCAUAAUAAAUAUAGUAGAACAUGCAAAAAAAUCAGAGAAAGCUUUGAACUAACUUAAGAAAAUCCUACAUCAGAAAAGAUACAGGUUUUUGAAAGCAGAUUUAUGAAAGAAACUUUGAGAAAACGUUUGAAAUUUUAAGAUAAGCACAUACUACAAUGGAUCUAAAAGAAUCAGAAGAACCUCGAAGGUUAGGGUUUCAGAAGAAACCCAGAGGGUGAGAAAGCCUUGGAAUCGUCGAUCUAAGCAGGAGAGGUCAAUAUCAGGCUUGAAUAGCCAUAGCUGGCCAGAGCAAGGUCGAAGAUGGCCGGAGUCAGCCAUAGCAAUGAAAACAUCCAAGGUCUGGACCAAAUUUCUUCAAGGUCUGGCCUUGAAGCCAUGACAAUCGAGGAUAUAAGAGUCGUGGGAGGUAGAUACAGGCCAUCAAUAGCUUUGGAAGCCAUUCAUUUGGUCGAUUUUAGGUGGUGAUUGAAGGUGUCGGCUAGAGUUUUUAG